GCCUAAAACUCAAAAGACUUGACGGUGUCCCAACCUACCUAGAGGAGCCUGUUCCAUAAUCGAUAAUCCACGAUCAACCCUACCACCCAUCGAACCCAACCCUUUCAGCCUAUAUACCGCCGUCACCAGCUUACCUUUCAAAAGCAUUAAAGUGAGCAUAAUAGUAUUUUACUAACACGUCAGGUCAAGGUGUAGCUUAUGGGGUGGCGCCAAUGGGCUACAUUAUCUAAUAUAGAUUACCUACGAAUUAUUUUUUGACAAAAUUAUAUAAAGGCGGAUUUAGCAGUAAAUUAAGCAAGAAUACUUAACU
rnacentral:rRNA from 1 species